GAUGCCUACGGGACGCAGCAGUAGGGAAUCUUCGGCAAUGGGCGAAAGCCUGACCGAGCAACGCCGCGUGAAUGAAGAAGGCCUUCGGGUUGUAAAAUUCUGUUAUAAGGGAAGAAAGGUGAUAGGAGGAAAUGACUAUCAAUUGACGGUACCUUAUGAGAAAGCCACGGCUAACCACGUGCCAGCAGCCGCGGUAAUACGUAGGUGGCAAGCGUUGUCCGGAUUUACUGGGUGUAAAGGGCGUGCAGCCGGGCUGACAAGUCAGAUGUGAAAUCCGCGGGCUUAACCCGCGAACUGCAUUUGAA
rnacentral:rRNA from 1 species